rnacentral:tRNA from 1 species
AGUGUGGUUCUGUGGUAGAGCGCUUGCCUAUCAUGUGCAAGAGGUCCUGGGUUGAAUCCCCAGCACU